rnacentral:rRNA from 1 species
AGAAUCAACGCUGGCGGCGUGCCUAACACAUGCAAGUCGAACGAGAAAGUGGAGCAAUCUACAAGUACAGUGGCGUACGGGUGAGUAACACGUGACUAACCUACCCUCGAGUGGGGAAUAACCUCGGGAAACCGGGGCUAAUACCGCAUAACAUCUACGGAUCAAAUGCGCAAGCAGCUUGAGGAGGGGGUCGCGGCUGAUUAGCUAGUUGGCGGGGUAAUGGCCCACCAAGGCAAUGAUCAGUAGCCGGCCUGAGAGGGCGCACGGCCACACUGGAACUGAAACACGGUCCAGACUCCUACGGGAGGCAGCAGUGGGGAAUUUUGCGCAAUGGGGGAAACCCUGACGCAGCAACGCCGCGUGGAGGAUGAAGCCCCUUGGGGUGUAAACUCCUUUCGAUCGGGACGAUUAUGACGGUACCGGAUGAAGAAGCACCGGCUAACUCUGUGCCAGCAGCCGCGGUAAUACAGAGGGUGCAAGCGUUGUUCGGAAUUAUUGGGCGUAAAGGGUGCGUAGGCGGUGCGGUAAGUCUUCUGUGAAAUCUCCGGGCUCAACCCGGAGCCUGCAGAGGAAACUGCCGUGCUGGAGUAUGGGAGAGGUGAGUGGGAAUUCCCGGGUGUAGCGGUGAAAUGCGUAGAUAUCGGGAGGAACACCUGUGGCGAAAGCGGCUCGCUGGAUCACAACUGACGCUGAGGGACGAAAGCUAGGGGAGCAAACAGGAUUAGAUACCCUGGUAGUCCUAGCCCUAAACCAUCAGACUUGGGUUUGCCCUGUACGGGGCAAGUCCCGUAGCUAACGCGUUAAGUCCUGCGCCUGGGGAGUACGGUCGCAAGGCUGA